UACGUAGGGUGCAAGCGUUGUCCGGAUUUAUUGGGCGUAAAGAGCUCGUAGGCGGUUUGUCAAGUCAGGUGUGAAAACUCCAGGCUCAACCUGGAGAUGCCACCUGAGACUGUCAUGACUUGAGUCUGGUAGGGGAGCACGGAAUUCCUGGUGUAGCGGUGAAAUGCGCAGAUAUCAGGAGGAACACCGGUGGCGAAGGCGGUGCUCUGGGCCAGUACUGACGCUGAGGAGCGAAAGCGUGGGGAGCAAA
rnacentral:rRNA from 1 species